AUUGAACGCUGGCGGAAUGCUUUACACAUGCAAGUCGAACGGCAGCACGGACUUCGGUCUUGGUGGCGAGUGGCGAACGGGUGAGUAAUGUAUCGGAACGUGCCCAGUCGUGGGGGAUAACGUAGUGAAAAUUGCGCUAAUACCGCAUACGAUCUAUGGAUGAAAGCGGGGGAUCGCAAGACCUCGCGCGAUUGGAGCGGCCGAUAUCAGAUUAGGUAGUUGGUGGGGUAAAGGCCCACCAAGCCAACGAUCUGUAGCUGGUCUGAGAGGACGACCAGCCACACUGGAACUGAGACACGGUCCAGACUCCUACGGGAGGCAGCAGUGGGGAAUUUUGGACAAUGGGCGAAAGCCUGAUCCAGCCAUUCCGCGUGCAGGAUGAAGGCCCUCGGGUUGUAAACUGCUUUUGUACAGAACGAAAAGGUUUCUACUAAUACUAGGAGCUCAUGACGGUACUGUAAGAAUAAGCACCGGCUAACUACGUGCCAGCCGCCGCGGUAA
rnacentral:rRNA from 1 species